rnacentral:rRNA from 1 species
UGCAAGUCGAGCGCGAAAGCGGACUUCGGUCUGCGAGUAGAGCGGCGAACGGGUGAGUAACGCGUGGGUGAUCUGCCUUCGAGUGGGGAAUAACACCGGGAAACUGGUGCUAAUACCGCAUGACAUCCUCGGUUCGUUCCGGGGAUCAAAGCUGGGGACCGUAAGGCCUGGCGCUUGAAGAGGAGCCCGCGUCCGAUUAGCUUGUUGGCGGGGUAAUGGCCCACCAAGGCUUCUAUCGGUAGCCGGCCUGAGAGGGCGGACGGCCACACUGGGACUGAGACACGGCCCAGACUCCUACGGGAGGCAGCAGUGGGGAAUUUUCCGCAAUGGGGGAAACCCUGACGGAGCAACGCCGCGUGGAGGAUGAAGGCCCUCGGGUCGUAAACUCCUGUCGAUCGGGAAGAAUGCGUCCGACCCAAUACGUCGGCACGUUGACUGUACCGGUGGAGGAAGCCACGGCUAACUCUGUGCCAGCAGCCGCGGUAAGACAGAGGUGGCAAGCGUUGUUCGGAAUUACUGGGCGUAAAGGGCGCGCAGGCGGUUCGCCAAGUCCCGUGUGAAAUCCCCCGGCUCAACUGGGGAACUGCGCGGGAAACUAGUGGACUUGAGUUCGGGAGAGGAAAGCGGAAUUCCGGGUGUAGCGGUGAAAUGCGCAGAUAUCCGGAGGAACACCAGUGGCGAAGGCGGCUUUCUGGACCGACACUGACGCUGAGGCGCGAAAGCUAGGGGAGCGAACGGGAUUAGAUACCCCGGUAGUCCUAGCCCUAAACGAUGAGCACU